rnacentral:rRNA from 1 species
UACGUAGGGGGCAAGCGUUGUCCGGAAUCAUUGGGCGUAAAGAGCGUGUAGGCGGCCCGGUAAGUCCGCUGUGAAAGUCCAGGGCUCAACCCUGGAAUGCCGGUGGAAACUGUCGGGCUUGAGUACGGAAGAGGCGAGUGGAAUUCCUGGUGUAGCGGUGAAAUGCGCAGAUAUCAGGAGGAACACCAAUUGCGAAGGCAGCUCGCUGGGACGUUACUGACGCUGAGACGCGAAAGCGUGGGGAGCAGACAGG